rnacentral:snoRNA from 1 species
UCACCACUCAAGCCUCGCUUGGUAUUGGGCAACGCGGUCCGCCGCGUGCCUCAAAUCGACCGGCUGGGUCUUCUGUCCCCUAAGCGUUGUGGAAACUAUUCGCUAAAGGGUGUUCGGGAGGCUACGCCGUAAAACAACCCCAUUUCUAAGG